UCUUUCGUAGUAUAGUGGUUAGUAUGCGAGCUUGUCAUACGAAAGGAUGAUCCACACCCUGGAGUAACAACGCUCGAGACCCGGGUUCAAUUCCCGGCGAGAGAG